rnacentral:tRNA from 1 species
GCGGGUGUAACUCAAUGGUAGAGUGUCAGCCUUCCAAGCUGAAUGUUGCGGGUUCGAGUCCCGUCGCCCGCU